AUCUGCAGCAUGGAUUGCAGUGUGACAGCAAUAUGAGCCUGUACAAUUCUGGUGCAACAGAUUUGUCAACUACUGCCACUAAAAGCAAGACAAAUCUAAAGAUGACCAAUAUAGAAUCUACCAUCUUCGCUAACAAGAGUGUCCACUUCUCCCUGCUUGAUAAAAGUGAUCAUUGUCGUAAGAGGAAGGUGUUUACAAGCACCCCUUCAAACUCAAAAGAGACAGGAGAAGGCAGUUCCUUGGUAAAAAGAUGUGGUCAGGUUCAACCAUCCAAUUGUUGACCCAGAAGACUCACUAUAUCUUUUGGAGUCGUUUGCACGCCUUUAAUUAAGUUUUCAAGGGGCCAUUGAUAUUUUUUCUUUUGAUUUUAGAUUGGUUUGUCAUCAAUUGCUGCAGAAGCUUCUUAUGUUGAUGGAGAAUUUCCGCCUCGUCCAAGUUCGAGGGAAGUUAUCACUGAUGAAAUCAUCCAGAUGUCAAAAAGUACAGAAAAUUUGGUAGAGGUGUCGAAUGCUGGCAAAGAAGAAACUGAUGAGAUGACUGACAUCCAGUAUAAAGGGAUGAAGAAGAGGGUUGACUCUUAUAACAUCAAUUACAAAAGGCUUAAGAACGUCAAUCGCUGUGAUGAAGUAGGACGGCGCAGACCAAAGUCCUAUCCCAGCUGCUGCAUUGAAGCCUACCCUGAUAACAUCCCUCAAAUUCCAGUUCGACUUCUUGCAUAUGAAGCACCAUCAAACGAAGAAAUCUUGAGGACAAAACCAAGAGAUUUCCUCCUAGAUUUAUAGAGCAGAAGCAAAUGAUGGAGAAUGUUGCAGUAUGGGAUACAAUGGAUGGUCAGCUCUGAUCACUCUAAAGGUUAGGCUGUGGCAGGUGGGGAGAUUCUGGCUCCCUAACUUUUUGAGUCCGACACUAAGUAUAUGCAAGAGAGCUCUAUCACUCGGUGGUGUGGCCGGGGGGUCUAGAAUGGCAGAAAUAGAAAGCACAUAACACUAGAAACUUGGUUUUUACACUGAAAAUCAUCACAAAAAAGGACACAAGUUUCUUGUGUUGAUUAUGCAGAGGAUAAAUUGUUUAAUCAAUUUGGUGUAUAUUUCCUGGUCAGUAAUUUUUGCCAUUUUGGAUGUCGGAGCAGGCGGCCAAAAGCUCUCUGAGAGAAGAGAGCUUGGAGAUGAUAGUCGAGGAGAAGUUUGACUCAUGAGUCCGUCAAAUCAGAAAGUUGUAGCAAGAUGUAAAUGUGAUAUGGUUUUGUUCUGGUUAUGUUCACAUAAUCAAAAAGAGUUUUGCUGAUGGAAUUCUGAUAUUUACUUCAUUUUCAUAAUGUAUCAAGUAACUAACUUAUUUUUUGUCUGUUUGGAUUCGAAUUUGAAUAUAUUUUUCUGUUGUUAUGGUUCAUAGUCGGUUAUAGAAUAAAAAAGAAAAAAAAUGUGGCCAUGUUAAGUUCUAGUCAUCAAAGUCAGAUUCAUUGAUUGA